rnacentral:rRNA from 1 species
GGAGUUAGCCGGUGCUUCUUCUGUGAGUGAUGUCCUUCCUGCCGGCUAUUAACCCGCNGGCCUUCUUCCUCACUGAAAGUGCUUUACAACCCGAAGGCCUUCUUCACACACGCGGCAUGGCUGGAUCAGGGUUGCCCCCAUUGUCCAAUAUUCCCCACUGCUGCCUCCCGUAGGAGUCUGGGCCGUGUCUCAGUCCCAGUGUGGCUGAUCAUCCUCUCAGACCAGCUACGGAUCGUCGCCUUGGUGAGCCGUUACCUCACCAACCAGCUAAUCCGACAUAGGCUCAUCCGAUAGCGCGAGGCCCGAAGGUCCCCCGCUUUCCCCCGUAGGGCGUAUGCGGUAUUAGCCUGGGUUUCCCCAGGUUAUCCCCCACUACCGGGCAGAUUCCUAUGCAUUACUCACCCGUCCGCCGCUCGCCACCAGGGAGCAAGCUCCCCGUGCUGCCGCUCGACUUGCAUGUGUUAGGCCUGCCGCCAGCGUUCAAUCUGAGCCAGGAUCAAACUCUGA